rnacentral:misc_RNA from 1 species
GAUGAAGAACGUAGCGAAAUGCGAUACUUGGUGUGAAUUGCAGAAUCCCGUGAACCAUCGAGUCUUUGAACGCAAGUUGCGCCCGAAGCCAUUAGGCCGAGGGCACGCCUGCCUGGGCGUCACACGUCGUUGCCCCCCCCAUCUACUCCUUCGGGAUUGCGGGGGGCGGAUGAUGGCCUCCCGUGCGCCUCGCCGCGCGGUUGGCAUAAAUGCCAAGUCCUCGGCGACGCACGCCACGACAAUCGGUGGUUGCGAAACCUCGGUUGCCCGUCGUGUGCGGUCGUCGCGCAUCGAGGGCUCGAAAAAAUGCUCGGCUCCGGCUGGGCUUUCAACGCGACCCCAGGUCAGGCGGGGUUACCCGCUGAAUUUAAGCAUAUCAAUAAGCGGAGGA